GAUUGGAAAUCAUUGUCUUGUAAGAUUGCUUCUGAAUCAACGACAUUGCACUACUUCAAAUAUUCGUCAGAAAUGUUUAUUCGAUAUAUUCGAGGAAGUACGAGACUCUAACGAAGUUUCUCUGGCAACGAGAACGUUCUCUCUAUCGAUUUUAACACUCACAUGCAAACUUUCGUUCAACACUAUCGCAUUGAAAAAGAAAUGAAAGCAGCUUUCGUUGGAAGAGAAGAAGAGUGGUGUAUGAGAAGGACAAGGGAGAAAAAUCCGGGGAGAACGAGCCAUGUUUUGUUAUGCUGUCUUUCGAGUAUCGUUAGGGGGAGAUGAUACGUUCAAUGGCGUUUACUUACUUACAUAUGUGGAGGACUAGGAUUGGUGAAACUUUCGGACCAAUCGGAUAACCCAAGAGGCGGGGUGAGGAAUAACGCGAAUCUUUUUUUACAUUUAUUUUUGGAUACAAUUCAAGAGGAACUGUUUAAAUGAUAAAUUUCAAACAGUUAUGUAUAAUGAUAUUAAAGGA
rnacentral:lncRNA from 1 species